rnacentral:lncRNA from 1 species
UUCUCUAUGUUUAUAUUCCUGUUUUGACAUGUUUGGCAAAGAAAUGCAAGAAAUGUGUGAUCUACUUAUAUUUUAUUGCACAAUAAUGCAAUCACUAAUUGUGUUAACAUUUGUAUACAUAUAUUUUUUUCCUUCAAUUCUGACUUGUAAAAUGCAUUUGUGGAGAUUUGUAUGCAGCAUCUCAUGUAAUGUUUAUAAAAGCAAUUAUUUCCAUAAUGUAUAUGUGUAUAUAUUUUUAGCUGAAUAUUUUGCCAAUUGACACAACCAUAUGUCUACAUAAUAUGUGCAAUGUAUAUCAGAUUUUCUAAAGGCUAAAUGCUCGUGAUUUUUAAAACUUUUAGGUUUAGAAUAUCAAAAUGAACGAGUAGUAGAGAAUAUUGUUAGCUUUGUUUAAACAUAACAAAAAAAUAAAUUGCUAAUGCCUUGUUAUUUCACAGCCAGUUCAAGACUUUUGUUUUAAAACAUAUAAUGACUAUAUUGCAAAUAAAUACAGUGUAACUCGACUUAAAAUAACCAAAAUAACCCAAUGAAAAAACUAAAUGAACCAUCUUAUAUUUUGAUAUAACAAAUGGUUUUCAAUCUUAAUAUAAAGUCAUCUUUUUUCAAGUUUUGUUGAUGUGAGCAUGAUCAGAUCAACUGUCACAAAUGAUCACAAAUAUAGAACUUUGUCACAGUAACAAUCCUGCUUGAAAUGGAAUUUAACUUGUGUUAGAACUGCAUUUUUAUCUAUCUCUCAGCCAGAUCAGAAAUAAAUCUGUUGAAACAUAGACACCUUACCUCAGGAUCUCACACAUAACAAUUCAACUUGAAAAAUGUAUUACAAUUCAAUAACUAAAUGUAAUUAAAUUAAAUAUUUCUGAUAACUUAUAAAUUUUCAAACCACUAAAUAUGUAUAUAGAGAGAUGGAAUUAUGAUAUUGAAAAUCUAAUUUUUCCUGUUUCUUUUUCAUUUCAUAAAUAAGUUGCUAUAAAGUGCUCAAAAUAAAAAAUAACAAAAACCUAUUUGGCCCAUGCAACAAAUAUUUCAACUAUUAGGUGGUAUAAAAACUUGUGGCAAAUUUAUUUCCUAUUCUACCCUUGCCAAAUAUAUUCUAACAGCAAAAAGCCUUGUUUGGCAAAUUUUCCCACAGUCGAUAUGGAAACUAUGCAAAAGCUUGAUUGAACAAUAAUAUUUAGAAUAAUAAUCCUAAACUACAUGCUGGAAGUUUUUCUAGAAUUUAUUUUAUCUUUUGUCAAUGGUUAUCCAUACUUCUUCACUAGGAUGUGUUACAAGACCAUGCACAGGAGUAAUUACUUGACCCUCCACCAUAUUAAACUUGAACUUUCUUAGUAAGGACACAAAGCAGACAGUAGCUUCAGCAUAGGCAAAUCUAUAUCCAGGACAAAUCCUUUUCCCAGCAAAUCCAAAAGGUUGGAAAGCUAAA